rnacentral:rRNA from 1 species
UACGUAGGGGGCUAGCGUUGUCCGGAAUCAUUGGGCGUAAAGAGCGUGUAGGCGGCUCGGUAAGUCCGCUGUGAAAGUCCAGGGCUCAACCCUGGAAUGCCAGUGGAAACUGUCGAGCUAGAGUCCGGAAGAGGCGAGUGGAAUUCCUGGUGUAGCGGUGAAAUGCGUAGAUAUCAGGAGGAACACCGGUGGCGAAGGCGGGUCUCUGGGCCGUAACUGACGCUGAGGAGCGAAAGCGUGGGGAGCGAACAGG